rnacentral:rRNA from 1 species
GUCUCCUACGGGGGGCAGCAGUAGGGAAUCUUCGGCAAUGGGCGAAAGCCUGACCGAGCAACGCCGCGUGAAUGAAGAAGGCCUUCGGGUUGUAAAAUUCUGUUAUAAGGGAAGAAAGGUGAUAGGAGGAAAUGACUAUCAAUUGACGGUACCUUAUGAGAAAGCCACGGCUAACUACGUGCCAGCAGCCGCGGUAAUACGUAGGUGGCGAGCGUUAUCCGGAAUGAUUGGGCGUAAAGGGUGCGCAGGCGGUCCUGCAAGUCUGGAGUGAAACGCAUGA